CAUGGCAACCCUAGCAAAUUAAGACAGUUACCUUGCUUAAUUUCAGACUUACUGCAUAGUGAAUUCAACUAUACAUUAGAGGUGUUACAAUUUGAAUCUAUCACUGAUGAACUGUUCUACAAAACCACAUUCAAUUGAGGCACAAGACUUAUUUUGCUUGAAUUGAAGCUUUAUUAUGGGACAAUCUACUGUCUGCUGCCAUCUAUACAUGCAGCUGAUAAGGAACAGGAACUCCUGCUAACAUGGCUGAGGCUUGAAACCGAAUCAGAAGCAUAUUGCUCUGGCUUCUCUUCAGUGAAAUUAAAAGAAAAAGGUUCAGUGUAUGAUGGAUGUUUUCAGAGAAAGUACUUGCAUUUUUUAUAAUAUAAUGCCAACUGUAUCACAAUCUCUAUAAAGGUGCAGACCAUGUCCAGCCUAUUUGCCAAUGACACCAUAUUACUACUGCAUGGUAAGUGUUCAACCACUAUUUGUUGAAUUAAUGCUGGGUGAUGUGAAGUGUAACAUGAUAAUUUGACAAAUGGAAAGAAUAGAUUGAAUGUGGAUAACUUACUAUUAGUAGUUUAUCUUUAUGGAAGUAUUACAUUCUCAUUAAAAUAAUUUAUGUAGAUUUCUACCUGCCUUGCCUUUUCCUUUUUGGUUGCUAUUAUCCUACAUCAGCAUGAAGCCAGAGACUGAAAACUGAUUUACUUUCACAACACGUUUCCUGCUAUAAAAUAAUAGCUCUGAAUUUGAGAAGCAAAAAUGUGCAUUUGGAUAUGAUGUUUUAGAGGCUAAACACACACACACACACACAGAGUUUUAAAUACUCAAAUCCUCAAAUUGCCCAGAAUUGCCAAAUAUGGUGCUCUCUUCUGCUGAUGAGUAUAGGAUUGUACAGGGCUGUGUUCUAGGAUCUAGUUAUUACCCUUUUAAAUCAAAAUCUCUAUAUAAUUAAAGAAGAUGCGUAGCAAUAACUUUCUUUAAAAAAGUACUAACAAUACUGUAAGCUUAUCAGAUCAAUCAAGAUGUUGUAUUGUAAUGUAUUUUCUUU
rnacentral:lncRNA from 1 species